UACGGGGGGGGCAAGCGUUGUUCGGAAUUACUGGGCGUAAAGGGUUCGUAGGUGGCCAACUAAGUCAGACGUGAAAUCCCUCAGCUCAACUGGGGAACUGCGUCUGAUACUGGUCGGCUUGAGUGCAGGAGAGGAACGCGGAAUUCCAGGUGUAGCGGUGAAAUGCGUAGAUAUCUGGAGGAACACCGGUGGCGAAGGCGGCAUCCUGGACCAAUACUGACACUGAGGAGCGAAAGCCAGGGGAGCAAACGGG
rnacentral:rRNA from 1 species